CUUGGGCUCUGAGUUUAAUUACACCGAAGAUGAUUUCUGGAUUGCCUCCCUUGAGGCACAUGGAAAUUAGAUUCUUCAGUGGAGCAUGCUCUGGUCGAUGAAAAAGUAAGUGACACUUGUCAUCUCCGGGUGGAAGCUGUAAGAGCCAGUGCAUCAUUUACUACCUUUUGUUUCCUGCCUUGGCAACCAUGAAUGGAGCUUCUAUCAGCCCAAGUCCCUGAGCAGAGCAGAGCCCUCCUGCAGACCUCCAGUGCACAUGAAGCAUAACCAAGAAACAAACUUUUGUUAUGUGAAGUAACUAAGAUUUGUGGCCCACUCUUACCGAAAAAUCAUAAUAAAAUCCCCUAAAAAAUAA